rnacentral:lncRNA from 1 species
GGAAGAACAACCUCCAGCACCAACCCUUCCUCCGCCGCAACUAUCAACAUUCCACUCUCCACCACCACUGCCACACUCUCCUCCGCCGCAACAACCAUCAUCAUCAAAAGCAUCUUCAUCAAUGCAAAGAGUUUCGGCACCGCCCAACCGUCCACCAGAGCCGCCACGACGAAGAGCACCUUAUAACCUUCCUUUUAAUCGACUUCAACCACCACCCGUUCCUCCUCCUCUUCCGCCUCUUCAGUUGCAGCAACCACCACAACCACCACCAUCGCCGGAACCUUCAGCGCAAGGAGAUGAUGAAGAAGUUUUACAUACAAAUGAUUGUUGUUGUUCCACCACAUGUAUACUCAUAUCCAUAGCCUGCUUUGGUUUCUUCAUUGCAUUCCUAGUGCGUUCUUCUUCUUUUCUCUUUAAUUUUUUCAUCAAUAGCACCUAAUAAUUUCAUAUAUCUGUCGAUGUAUUAUGUAUAUAUCUCCAAGCUAUAUACUUUAUUGGAAUUCUAUGGGUAAAUUUAGAAAUAACUUUUACUUGAUUUAUAUAACACUCAAACAUACAGUAUGAAACGAUUAUGCAUUGUUGUUUCAGGUGUACUUUUUGAUUCGUUGUUUACAUAUAAAGCGUUAUUAAUUUUCUCUGGGGAUGCUAAGUGUGUGUUUCAACUUUCCCCUCUUGUUUCACAGUUAUUAAUUUCAAAGUUUCUCUGUAACUCCUUACAGACUUUGGUGAUUUUGUAUGUUUCUUUUUACAGGUAUCUUGAAAUGUUUUUGGUUUUGGAUGGAUGGCUAGACGAGUCACUGUUGCAGCAUUACCACCACGUGCAUAUGCAGGGAACAAUUGCUUUCUAAACAUUAUUUUAGUUUUCUAGUUUGUUAGAAUAGAAGGACUCUGUUGAACGACAAUAGUUGAUCCUUUUGACAUAACGUGG